GUGGGGAAUAUUGGACAAUGGGCGAAAGCCUGAUCCAGCCAUGCCGCGUGUGUGAAGAAGGUCUUCGGAUUGUAAAGCACUUUAAGUUGGGAGGAAGGGCAGUAAGUUAAUACCUUGCUGUUUUGACGUUACCGACAGAAUAAGCACCGGCUAACUUCGUGCCAGCAGCCGCGGUAAUACGAAGGGUGCAAGCGUUAAUCGGAAUUACUGGGCGUAAAGCGCGCGUAGGUGGUUUUGUAAGUUGGAGGUGAGAUCCCCGGGCUCAACCUGGGAACUGCAUCCAAAACUGCAUGACUAGAGUACGGUAGAGGGUAGUGGAAUUUCCUGUGUAGCGGUGAAAUGCGUAGAUAUAGGAAGGAACACCAGUGGCGAAGGCGACUACCUGGACUGAUACUGACACUGAGGUGCGAAAGCGUGGGGAGCAAACAGGAUUAGAAACCCCAGUAGUCC
rnacentral:rRNA from 1 species